UCGGGUCACAGGUCACUCGUCAUGAGUCGGGUUAGAGGUCACUCGUCAUGCGUCGGGUCAGAGGUCACUCUUCAUGCGUCGGGUAAGAGGUCACUCGUCAUGUGUCGGGUCAGAGGUCACUCGUCAUGCGUCGGGUAAGAGGUCACUCGUCAUGCGUCGGGUCAGAGGUCACUUGUCAUGCGUCGGGUCAGAGGUCACUCGUCAUGAGUCGGGUCAGAAGUCACUCGUCAUGCGUCGGGUCAGAGGUCACUCUUCAUGCGUCGGUCAGAGGGCACUCGUCAUGCUUCG